CUCCUCCCUUGGAUCAAGCCAUUUUGGUGGGGCCGUACAUGGUGGUUUCAUAUUUCUCCUCGUGGAAAAAAACAAACAAACAAACAGCGCCCCGUUCGCAUUUCCAACGGUCCAGCCGAGACGAGGCACGCGGUUUUUUUUUGUCGAAGUCGGGCAACUUUAAUUCCGUCAGCCGUUCGAGGACGUCGUGUCGUUGGAUCUGUUGUCGCGUGGGACCGUACGCAGCAACGGCAGCGAGUUGCCCAGCGGAUCCCCGUGGUCCCGUCGAACAAAGGAACAGCUAAGGCCGAUGCUCGCUCCCCAGCGCCAUCGCUGUCAAUGCUAUUUAUGAAGCAACUGGAUGUAUAGCCCAACAUAAAGCUCUUUUUUUGUUACAGCAGUUAGUAUUUCCUUAACUCUAAAAAAAAACAAACAACGAAUUAGCGCGACGUCUCAGUGGAUAACGUCGGCUACCGUUAGCACUUAUUGUAGACAACUAGCCGAACUGCUAAACCACAUAGCGUCACUUUACGUAGAUUCAAGGAACACGUUUUCCAAAAUGGCUGAAGUAUACAUUCGAGUGGCGGAGGAAGAAAACGAGGAACCGAUGGAGAUACCGUCCGAGGACGACGGCACCGUCCUGCUUUCCACCGUGGCCGCUCAGUUCCCCGGGGCGUGUGGCCUGCGCUUCAGGAGCCCCGUGUCCCAGUGCAUGCGAGGGGUGCGUCUCGUGGAAGGAGUCCUGCACGCACCAGAAAACGGAUGGGCGAAUGCGGUGUACGUAGUGAACUAUCCGAAAGAUAACAAAAGAAAGAUGGAAGAAAUUGACGCCUCCUCUGCUGUAAAAAUGAAGCGGGGAGACAUGAAGACCUCUGAUCUGAUCGUUCUGGGUCUUCCGUGGAAAACGAGUGAGCAGGACCUUAAAGACUACUUUAGCACAUUUGGAGAAGUCAUCAUGGUUCAGGUUAAACGAGACGCCAAGACGGGAAACUCAAAAGGAUUCGGCUUUGUGAGAUUCACAGAGUAUGAAGCACAAGAAAAGGUGGUCUCCCAACGGCACAUGAUUGACGGGAGAUGGUGUGACUGCAAGCUCCCAAACUCAAAGCAAGGUCCAGACGAGCCUUUGAGGAGCCGGAAAGUGUUUGUAGGCCGUUGCACGGAGGACAUGACCACUGACGACCUACGGCAGUUCUUUAUGCAGUAUGGGGAGGUCACAGAUGUCUUCAUCCCCAAGCCAUUCCGUGCUUUUGCCUUUGUCACGUUUGCAGACGAUCAGGUUGCACAGGCCCUUUGUGGAGAGGACCUAAUAAUCAAAGGUGUCAGUGUGCACAUCUCAAAUGCUGAGCCAAAACAUGGCAACAGGCAGUUUGAUCGCACAACGCGGUUUGGUAACGGGUUUGGAGCUCAGGCAUUUGGUAGCAGUCGUAGUGGGUUGGGGGGGAGCAGCACUAACAGUAGCAUGGCUAAUUUUGGCUCUUUCAGCCUGAACCCCGCGAUGAUGGCCGCGGCUCAGGCGGCGCUGCAGAGUAGCUGGGGCAUGAUGGGUAUGCUGGCGAGCCAGCAGCAGACGUCCACCUCAGGCAGCACCUCCAGUGGAACGAGUUCUAGUCGGGACCAGAGUCAAUCGUUCAGUGCAGGGAACAGCAACUACGGCACCAGCUCGGCCAGUCUCGGCUGGGGAACGGGGUCGAACUCUGCGACCAGCGGUAGUGGGUUCAGUUCAGGUUUUGGGUCCAGUAUGGAGUCAAAGUCAUCUGGGUGGGGUAUGUAAGCUAAAUAUUUGUAUGGUAAGUAUUGUGACAAAGAUGAGUCUUUUCAAAAUGUAUUUCUGGUGUAGAUGCGACAACUUAACACUUUUGUGGAAGAUGUUUUGUACAUUUGGAAAAAAUGCUAAAGAUUUAAUUUAGAACGUGUUGAAGUGAAUCGUUUACCAGGAUGUCUGACUAAAGUGCUACUUUUGAUCUCUCAUUUGUUUGUAUCCAUUUCAACUGGAUUCUCUAAUGCAUGCAUUGUGAAAUGUGAUAACCAUUUUGAAAAUGCAUGAAAGUUGUGGUUCACCAUUAUCCGGCUUGGUCAUCAACUUAAAAGGCAAUCUUGCAUUGGGAAGAAUCUGGUUGAAACCUAAAUGUUUUUAAGUGCAACUUUAUUUACAGUCAAGUUCUGUGGAAAAGCCUUCAUUGAAAUCUCUUCUGCAGUUCACCUCUCUUCCAUUUUCCUGUGAGGAAGCUCCUCUUUGGCAGCAUUCUUGGGGUGAUAUCGGUAUCAUUCUCCCUCUUCCCACCUGUAAAUGCAAUGCCAUCAAAGAACGGCUUCACUCCGCAUGUUCUGAGAGACGGGACCUUGGGCUCUGCUGGUCGAGGUCUCCGUUUGCACCCUGACUGAAGUCUGUUCUGAAGGAUGAAGACAGAAGUUCCAACACUUUCAGUGUGUGGCCUUCUCAGACACGGGGUAGUACCUGUCCUCUUGCUGCCUCUGAUAGCUUGUCGGAGGAAAUGAUCCCUUUUCAAUUUUUCCACAGCUACUUUUGAAGUUAAGGAAAUUCAAGAAGCGGCACUAACCUUGGAGGUCAUAGGUUAGAAGAAAGUAAUGGAUUUAUUAGACUGCAUUUCACGCAGAAGUACCUCUUAAAGAGGUCACAAUGUAUAUAUAGGACAUAUGUUGUUUGUCAGAAAAGCUAAGCGGCAGCUGUACAUUUAGGUUCUUGUAGUCUGUCACUUGGCCAAAAAAAGCUUUAUUUAUACUUAAUGUGCCAGUGCGCUACAAUAUGACAUCACAACAACUCACAAAAGUUGUUUCAUUCAAAAUGUAGGUAUGUAUCAGAUUUAUUUGGUAGAACUCUUGAAAGUUGAAAUGCAUAAUUUUCAUAAAAUAUGGCACCGUUAAUGACACGUAAUCUAAUGUCCUGUAUAAGUAAACAUUGUUUAUUUGAAUGUUGGCAACCAGUGAGACUCUUUAUUCCACUCUUAAUUCUCUGCUCUCCUCCUCAAUGUCUCUGCUUUUCUUCUUCCCAGUAUUCUUCUUUUUCAAAUCCCUCUGCUCCUGGAUCAGUUCUUCACUUUUAUUUUGUAUGUAGACAGACUGAAAUAAAUAAAGGCAAAUCAAACAUG